rnacentral:snRNA from 1 species
GGGUGUGAGGAUGAUCUGGCUGUGACAUCUGUCACUCCAUCGAUCGCCAGGAGUGAUUCCGCUGAUCCGACUGACUAGGUGGGGGUCCCCUGCCUCUCUCAGCACUCCACAUGCACCUCCCCACCCCAAAGCUGGCUCUCCAUCAAAGAGGUCAACAGUCCCUUGAUGGAGGAAGGUUGCUCUUUGGUCAAGGGUAUAUGAGUAGCUGUGGUUCUCUGCUAGAACCUUCAAAAUUUGAAAGAGAAAAGGAAGAAAGAAAAGAAAAAAAAGGAAAACAAAAGAAAA